GCUAUUAACGCUGCUCGUGACGUCAUUUCGGACAUCCGGAUUCAAGGGUGUUUUUUUCACCUGGCCCAGUCGGUUCAUCGUAAGCUGUGCGCGCUGGGGUUUCAAGCACGUUACGGCACGGACGAGGCAUUUGCAGUCAAGAUGAAAAUGCUCCCAGCCUUGGCGUUUCUUCCUGUUGAGGCUAUCCCAGAGGCGUUUCAAGACUUGUUGGAAGUAUUCCCACAGGAGGCGAUCGGACUGGCUGACUACUUUGAGGACGUUUACGUCGGUCGACCACGUCGAAACGGCGUCAGCUCGGCUCAAUUUCCUCCGAAACUCUGGUCAGUGUACGAGGCGGCACUUGAUGGAAUGCCGCGGACAAACAACAGUGUGGAGGCGUGGCACUAUGGGCUACAGAGCAACGUGAGAUGCACUUCACCGAACAUCUGGG
rnacentral:lncRNA from 1 species